rnacentral:rRNA from 1 species
UACGUAGGGGGCAAGCGUUGUCCGGAUUUACUGGGUGUAAAGGGCGUGUAGCCGGGCUGACAAGUCAGAUGUGAAAUCCGGGGGCUCAACCCCCCGAACUGCAUUUGAAACUGUUGGUCUUGAGUGUCGGAGAGGUAAUCGGAAUUCCUUGUGUAGCGGUGAAAUGCAUAGAUAUCACGUAGAACUCCGAUUGCGAAGGCAGCAUACCGGCGCCCAACUGACGCUGAAGCACGAAGCGUGGGUAGUCGAACAUGGA